GACGAACGCUGGCGGCGUGCUUAACACAUGCAAGUCGAACGGAAAGGCCCUUCGGGGUACUCGAGUGGCGAACGGGUGAGUAACACGUGGGUGAUCUGCCCUGCACUUUGGGAUAAGCCUGGGAAACUGGGUCUAAUACCGAAUAGGACCACGCUCUUCAUGGGGUGUGGUGGAAAGCUUUUGCGGUGUGGGAUGGGCCCGCGGCCUAUCAGCUUGUUGGUGGGGUAAUGGCCUACCAAGGCGACGACGGGUAGCCGGCCUGAGAGGGUGACCGGCCACACUGGGACUGAGAUACGGCCCAGACGCCUACGGGAGGCAGCAGUGGGGAAUAUUGCACAAUGGGCGCAAGCCUGAUGCAGCGACGCCGCGUGAGGGAUGACGGCCUUCGGGUUGUAAACCUCUUUCAGUACCGACGAAGCGCAAGUGACGGUAGGUACAGAAGAAGGACCGGCCAACUACGUGCCAGCAGCCGCCGUAAGAC
rnacentral:rRNA from 1 species